rnacentral:rRNA from 1 species
UACGUAGGGUGCGAGCGUUGUCCGGAAUUAUUGGGCGUAAAGAGCUUGUAGGCGGUUUGUCGCGUCUGCCGUGAAAAUCCGAGGCUCAACCUCGGACUUGCGGUGGGUACGGGCAGACUAGAGUGUGGUAGGGGAGACUGGAAUUCCUGGUGUAGCGGUGAAAUGCGCAGAUAUUAGGAAGAACACCGGUGGCGAAGGCGGCUCUCUGGAACGGUACUGACGCUGAGACGCGAAAGCGUGGGGAGCGAACAGG